rnacentral:rRNA from 1 species
UCGGGACCUAAGGCGAGGCCGAAAGGCGUAGUCGAUGGACAACAGGUAGAGAUUCCUGUACCCGUAUAUAUGUGAAGGAAUGACGGAGAGAGGAAGCUGCAGCCAGCGGCUGGAAGAGCUGGUGCAAGCGAGAUAUCGGGAUGGCAGGCAAAUCCACCAUCCGAAACGAGAAGGCGUGAAGCGUACGGAAAGCUACGGCGAGUACGGAAGGCAGUGGAGGAACUUCCAAGAAAAGUUUCUAACGUUAAGUAUAUAUGGCCCGUACCGAAAAUGGACACACAUGGGUGAGGAGAGAAUCCUAAGGUGAGCGAGAGAACUAUAGCUAAGGAACUCUGCAAAAUGACUCCGUAACUUAGGGAGAAGGAGUGCUCAUAGAGAUAUGAGCCGCAGUGAAACGGCCCAAGCGACUGUUUACCAAAAACACAGCUCUCUGCUAAGCCGCAAGGCGAAGUAUAGGGGGUGACGCCUGCCCGGUGCUGGAAGGUUAAGGGGAGGGGUUAACGCAAGUGAAGCCCUGAACUGAAGCCCCAGUAAACGGCGGCCGUAACUAUAACGGUCCUAAGGUAGCGAAAUUCCUUGUCAGGUAAGUUCUGACCCGCACGAAAGGCGUAACGAUUUGGGCGCUGUCUCAGCUGUAGACUCGGUGAAGUCUUAGUACCUGUGAAGAUGCAGGUUACCCGCGACUAGACGGAAAGACCCCAUGGAGCUUCACUGCAGGUUGAUAUUGGGAUUUGAUGCAGCAUGUACAGGAUAGGUAGGAGGCAAAGAGAUGGAUACGCCAGUAUUCAAGGAGCCGCUGUUGGGAUACUACCCCUGUUGUAUUGGAUUUCUAACCGGACGACGUAGAGCCGUUGACGGGACAGUGUCAGUCGGGCAGUUUGACUGGGGCGGUCGCCUCCCAAAGAGUAACGGAGGCGCCCAAAGAUACCCUCAGCUUGGAUGGAAACCAAGCGCAGAGUGCAAAGGCAAAAGGGUGUUUGACUGCGAGACCCACAAGUCGAGCAGGGACGAAAGUCGGGCUUAGUGA